rnacentral:rRNA from 1 species
AUUGAACGCCGGCGGAAUGCUUUACACAUGCAAGUCGAACGGCAGCACGGGGCAACCUGGUGGCGAGUGGCGAACGGGUGAGUAAUACAUCGGAACGUGCCCAGUCGUGGGGGAUAACGUAGCGAAAGUUACGCUAAUACCGCAUACGAUCUAUGGAUGAACGCGGGGGAUCGCAAGACCUCGCGCGAUUGGAGCGGCCGAUGUCAGAUUAGGUAGUUGGUGGGGUAAAGGCCUACCAAGCCGACGAUCUGUGGCUGGUCUGAGAGGACGACCAGCCACACUGGGACUGAGACACGGCCCAGACUCCUACGGGAGGCAGCAGUGGGGAAUUUUGGACAAUGGGCGCAAGCCUGAUCCAGCCAUUCCGCGUGCAGGAUGAAGGCCUUCGGGUUGUAACU